GGAUUUUUAACAGUUUGGUGUUGGCAUAACCAUCUAUGAACUUAACAGCUUUAGAGUUCAAGAGAAUAACAUCUAACAGAAGGAAACAGCUUCCUACUCACAACUUACUUCCAGCCAUUUAGUGUUCAAGUGGAUGUUGCGUAUUGGGACAAACUUUUUGUAGUUUGUGUGUAGGCCCUAUGUAGGGAAAAUGAUAAAUUUGAUUUAGGAAUGGAAACCUGUCUGCUGGUGUGUGCAUGCCUGUUCCUGGUGGUACCUUGUGUUGGCACAUGUGCAGCUUGUACCCUGCAGCAGAGGAGCCCUCACAGGCAUGUCUGGUGUCAGGAAAACAGCUUUAAAAGUAAAGCAGCCUAAAGGGGGGUUCUUAAAAACCCCUGUCUAAAUAGUGGGUCUCUGCUAAAUACCACACCAUCUUCUGUUCCCUGGAAACGCACUCUGCUUUCUUACAGAGGCUGGCAGGCUGAAGUCUCCAAGCACAGGGUAUAGAAAGGAUAAGGAGUAGAAUCAAGCCUGUUGUUAGCAAGAGUUUCUAAAGCAAAAAUAGCCCAAACCAGCUCAGUUUAUAUUAAAGCACUUAGCAGCUCAACUGAUAUAUUUACCCUUCAGGAUUAGCUCUUGUUCCUCACUGGGCUCCUGUGGGACAGGCACAGCCAUCAACCACCCCAGUGGAAACCUUCAGCUUCUUCACUCAGGGGAAAUGUCACCAGCUCUCAGGGGGACAGUCCCAGGCAAAGGCUCACACACGCUGGAGAUCUUUGCAUGUGUGGUUAUGAAACUGGAGCUCAGUGGUACCUACUUAAAACUUGAGCCAACAUAGCACCAGAGGGCUGGUUUUGAAGUUCACAUGCUGCAGGGUGGAUGUGGCUGGUCAAAUUUCAGUUACUCAUCAGGUGGUAAUGCUAUAGCCCCUGAAUCUAGAUGUUAUUUCAGAGGGAGGUUGGUCUUGCUGGCCAGCUCUGGUAGGACUAACCAGAAAAUGUGAAGUUGAACUAUUUUAGGCUUCUGCCCCUCUAAUGCAGAGUAAUGUAUAUGACAUCUGUUGAGUGGAAAUCAGGUUGUCAGCAGAGGAAAGGGACGGUUGCAUGUGUCUGUCCUCACUGUGCAUGGCCAUGGGGAGAGGCUUGCCCAGCAUCUGCUGCUUUCCUGCAUGAUGGGCAGCACUUGGUGACAAUUCUUAAUAAGGUGCUCACUUUGCAGCACUUGGGGGAAGUGAAGGGCAGUGACUACAGAGCAGUCUCCUAACAUUUCAAUGUCAUGGCCAUCAAUCUAAUUUUAAAUGAAUUUUUAUUAUUUAAAGGCUGGUAUUGGGUAAUGUUCCUUUAAACAAGGGUGGUUAAACUCAAUUAAAUGCUGUUUAGCCUUGGGGCUAAUUAACAGACUGGUAAGUGGCAAUUAAAUGUAAAGAUUAGAUUAUUGUUAAAGUCAAUUGAGAACAGUUCUUUUUGGAGAUGAGAUCUGAUGCUUAUUGAUUAUUUUCAAGAGUGUUUUUGGUACUUACUGUUUUUUCUUUCUCUGAGAAACCUUCAAUUUUCAGCGUUCUGACAUGGGUCAGUGAAUAAUUUACUCUUUAAGAACAGUUCACAUAAAAGUCUAAAUAGCAAGCUUUAUUCCAUUGUUACUAUGGACUCCUUGAUAAUAAUAUUUUUCACAUAUGAGGACCUUCCAGCCAUCUGCUCUUUAAAUACUGAAUGGUUGAUGAUUCACAGAUACAUGGUUCUGUGUGAGAGCUUAGGUCGACUAUAAUGAGUUUUUAUUUUUGUCGUUGUUGCUUUCACCUGUGCAGCUCUUGAUCCUGUUUUAUCCUGUCUUUCUUUGUUGUAGUUUUGUUUACUUGGUUACGGUGCCAGUGAUAGCCAUUCCUGCUUGCUUAGAGGAAAGGUUCAUCUUGGCAAGUUACCACUGUCAUUGAUCUGCUCAGCUUAGCACCUCAGGUUAGCCAGGCAGUGAUUCAUUUCCAUGGCUAUGCAGGGAACUGCUGGAAAAUGUAACAAGAAAAACUUGUGCCUUCACAUUAAAUCUUCCUCACUUUUAACCUUUGGUAUAUUGCAUUUACAAGAAUUUGCAGAGAUUUUCCCUUCUUCCCUGUAUUUCGUGGUGCCAUUGAUAAUUUUAUGUCGACAGAUGAACAACUGUUGGUGCAUCUGAUGUCAAGACAGAUGGCAUGGAAGUUCAUGGCUUCUGAAAGAAUUAAUCUAAUUGAGAUUGAAAAUAUUUUAGACAUAACCUUUGAACAAAUGAAAAUAAUGUAAACUUUGCAAAAGAGUAAAAGGAAAUGUGUCUGAUUACAAUAAAACCAAAUUGAUAACAGGUGGAAUAGGACUGCUAUAGUUGAUGGAAACGUGGGUUGGAAUUAAGGUCAUGCAUCUUUAGGAAGAAAAGAGAAUUAUGUCCAGAAUUAAACAAGUUCUGAUUUUUGUCUUGGGAUCUGCUUUGCACUCUUCUGGGGGUAACAGGCAAGUCAAAUUACUGAAGAAGAAAAUGAGGCCAUGUUUCACAGCUGGUCCUCUUUAUGAGCUGGCAAAUCUUUGUGCACCCAUAUUUGUCCUCUAAUUUAAUAAAAAAUAUGAUUUUACAGCAUUUUUUGCUCUCAAGUUGCUUAAGAGAUGUCGUGAAUUGAUUGUUUUAACUUGGAAGUGAUGAACCGUGAGAUUAAAGGAGAGUGCAAUUACCCCCAUUCCAGAAAAUGUUACAUUCUGUGUAACACCCUCAGUAAGAUAUAAGACAUUUUCAGUAAUUCUAGAAACAGUUUGAUUUGUUUGUGGUAAAAAGGAUGAAAGUGUCCAGUUGCUGUUUUUCUGGCAUCUCUGAGUGCUGCAGCUGAGGUGAAGUCUCAGUGGAAAUUUGCUUCAAUUUCCUAACAAACCAAGGGAAGAGUUGGCUUCAGCUGGAUCAUUCAAGGGGCAUUUUGUCGUGCUAUUUCAAUUUCAUGAAUUCAUGCCAGUUGUGGAACGUGUUCUUAUAGGGAUGUAUGGUGGAGGUUAUUUUUAUAGGAAUGUUUUCCCUUGGAAAUUUUAGCUUUAAUGAAGUCUAUUGGAAAUAGCUAUUAAUUUUUUUUUAUAGCUUUUCAGAAUAGUUUAAUAGAAAUUCUGCUAGCCUCUACAAAAUCUGGUCACCAUUUGUAGAUGUGAUGGUGACCAGACCCUUGCUGUCUUAUUUAAGUAAAACAAAAUGGGAAACCUAACAUUGCUCCAAAAUAGUCUUUAAGCACAGUACAUAAUUACUUGAUCAGUGUGUAAUUACAAUGUUAUGAGUUUUAUAUAAUUAGGAUUUUAUGGACAUCUGUGAUAUAAUUUAAGAAUAUAUUAAUUUAUUUACAUAAAAAGCCUAUUCUAGGAAACAAGCCUUUCAUCAAUAACUGUGGUAAGUAACAAGAAUAUAUUAUACAUAGGCAUUCAGAAAAUCUCCUGGAGGGCUGCCUGCCUUUAUUUAAAGCCUUUUUUGUACAAGCUGUUGCGGUGGAUGAGGGGAGACCUAUAUUUAGAGCUAUGGCUUGUUUGGGUGUAUGAGUGAGGUUGGGUGGGCAGUGUCCUGGGCAGGUCUGCUCCAUUGCAAGGAAUCCAACGGGCUUUCCAGAUUUGCAGGGUGCUGGUCAGCAAGCCCCCACCAGAGGGUGGGGAUCCUCUUGGAAUGGGUCUCCUGUUAGCCCAUGGCUCUUUAUCUUGUGUGUGAGGAUUGCUGGUGUGCCUUGAUGAGGGUCUUGUAACUCCAGCCCUGCUGCUUCAGUCAGGUGCAGAAAUCCCUUCCUCAGCACAAGGAUGUAUUCUUGGCACACACGUCCCCAGAUCACCUGAGGUCUGGGUUUUGAAGACUGCAUAUAUUUUACAACGUCAGGGCCGUAGCUGUACACAGAAUUUCCUUAUUUUUAAGGAAGAUCAAAAACAUUUCAGAAUUCAGACUUGAAAAGUUUCUUUGUUCUUAUUUUGAAAUAUCUCAAGGCUUAUCAAAAGUUGUUGAAGGUUUCCUACCUUUGUCUAAAUUUUGCUUAGUAUAAAGUCACUUGAUAUCAUACAGGUUUUAAUUUUUUUUUUAAAUUAGAAUUUCCUAUUCGACAAAUGCUGGAGGAUUAAUGAAGAGGCCUAUAUUCAAUCUGAAUGACAUUUGGAAAUUGUUCUGGUUUUGCAUUGUGUUUGAAGACUGUGAUCUGCUGGUGCACCCGUGUAUGAGCUGACUCAUUUACUACCCCUGCACUAUUCAGAGUUUGGGAUGUUUGGGAUGUAUCAGCAACUUCUAGGGAGGAAUGAAGAGCUCAGAAGGUUCUUAAGAGACUGCAGUAAAUAUUGAAGCCUUUGUUCUCCUGUCCUUAUCCUCAAAUAACAGAGAGUUCCUCAAACGACAGUGGUGUGCUCCUUCCAAGUAGUCUCACCGUCAAAGCCAUUUUGAUCUUGAAUACAGAUACAGAAACAACCAGAGCAGUGAAAGAUUCCUGGCAAGGGAAUAGUUCUGAGAAAUAAAUAAAAUUCUUAACCAGACAGUCAUGUGUUUAAUAUUGUUGAUAGACAGUGCCAUGCAUUUUCCAAGAUUUGUUUUUAAUUGGACUAUGAGGCAGCCAGGGGCUAUUUUUAGUUUUAAUUUGGAAAAUCAGUGAGUGUGCAAAGAGGCCUGUUAAUGUCCUGUGCUGAAGCACUAAUAGUAGAGAUGUCCUAACAGUGAGUAGCUGGUGUCACCUUCAUGGCCUGGAGCUGGGGGGAUACAGAGGUUGUUUUACAUAGCUGUGUAUGUCAGCCCAGGACUGUUCCUGCCCAUGAGCAGCAGGUUCCUUUCCAAUGUGUUUCCUUAAAAAAUUUAAUUUUGUUAGAUAAACCAUUUAGUGGAUCAAUAUUAACCUGAAAGCUUAAGGAAGGUUUAGGAUGUAAAGAAGGAAAGAGGAUCUCAGGGCAAGUUUUCAUCAGUUUUUGAUAUGGCAUCCCAUUUCAGCUAUGUCUCGCUAUCCUGAGCUAUGGUGAACUUUUAUCUGAAAUUUAUGCUCUUGUUUGAGUAUUUAUAACUACCAUGCCAGAGAGCCUGCAGAGCUUCUUCUGCUGUAAAUGGACCCACUCAUGCUCUCUUUUCUACAGGCUGCAUCUGUGCUCCCCUUUUUUCCAGUAUCUCUCUAGUCCUGUUUUUGUUCAUUCAUCUCAAAUAUGCUUCUUUUAGUGCUCCAAGUUCUCCCUUCCUGUCAUUUAUCUCCUGAAAUUUUGCUACUUUGGCUAGUUGUUAUUAUUCUGUCAUUCAAUCCCUUGUGUGGUACUUGAGAGCAUAAUCUUCUAACCUAGUUUACAUUACACUGUCAUUAUGAAUUAUUAAUGUUCUAAAAUAAAAUCUUCAAACCGUAGUCUUUGCUGUGGUGAAAGAGCUCUGUGUGCUUUUGUUUCCUUCCUGUUCUCCCUGGCCUUUCCUUUCUUCAGACCUUUAGGUCUUUAGAGCAGGGAUGUUAUUGAUCCAGCCUUCUGGAAUAGACUUGGCUGUGCACUUAGAAUUGCAUUGUCACAUCUCUGAGUUGAGAUGGGCAUUUAUUAUAUAAACACUAAAAAAGCUGGUUUUGGAAGUAAUUCUUCUGAUUCUCAUCAAAGACAUGCUGUGCAAAUAGAAGUGAUGAUACAUGUUUGGGUUAUAGCUUGUCUGAGAAGGUGAAUAUUAUUUUUUGUACUCUUCAUUAAAUUUUUGGUUUGUUCCUGGGAGUCUCACUUGUAUUUGUCAGUAGAUGAGAAAUUUUAAAUAGCAGAACAGGUCAAGUUAUAAUUCUCAGCAAAUUUUUAGGGCAAAAUUUUCCACUGAAAGACAAGAAGUCCAUACAAGCUUUCUUCCACCCUUCAUUUUAAUGCAACUGUUUGCCCGUUCUGCUUUGGAGAGACUGGAAGAUUCCAGAAUCAUUACACGCCCGAUUUUCCAAGCGAAUCAACGCACAAA